ensembl:lncRNA
ACCAAGCCAAAUCACUGGAAAAAUUUUGGAUGGGUCCACAAGAGCACAAAGUGCAUACUUUUUGAAGAAAAACAUCUUUCAGAUGUAUGAGAAAUUGAUUGGAGCCUGUCUGGAAAACGGCAGCCACUGGACCUUGUUUGUAAGUUGCACAGAUUUUGCACUCUCUCUAGUGCAUGAUACUUUUCAGUGUCCCUCAUUAGGAAAGCUCAAGGCCCAAGCCUACCAUAUCCAUCUUUUUACAAAACAGUUUUGUGACAUACCCAAGAGGACCAUAGUCUAUAUGAAUUCAUUUGGCGAGUCGGAGGUCAGAAAAAGUGCGGUGUUGAAAAACUGGAGCUCAUUUGCUUCAGCAAGAGGCUGCGCUGGAGAGUGGACCUUGUCACAUGUGAGCCACCCACAUCAACAGGAUGGGAACUCAUGUGGAGUGCAUGUCGUCAUGGUACUGAAAACUAUAGCUUUAACCUAUAUAAGUAAUGUUUACAUUUUUGCCUAUUCAGUUUUUAAAGCCUUAGAGGCAGGAUGGUAAAAUCUCAAUUUUUUUUGUAGAUUGAACCAUUUCAGCAGUAAUGCUUUGCUUUGGUUGCUCUGGUUUUUUUUUUUUCUCGGGGGGUGGGGGGGUUAAAAACAAACAAACAUUUCUUUGUUAAUCUAAUUCUUUUUGUUCUUUUUUUUUUUUUUUUUCUUCGUCAAUUAUUAGUUUGCCCAAUCUCUCAUUGACGGUAAAACACAAGUGGAGGAGUACAACACUGAAAUCACAAAGCUCAGGUCCCGACUUUGCCGCUACUUAUUUUCCUCAAUAGGUAAAGAUAAAAUUAGCUGCCUUCUUUUUCUCUAACAUUGGAAAAUGUAACUUGUACUUAAACAAAUUAUAUUUUGCAGAUCGAACUAGGAAGUGCAGUCAGUGCUGGUGUGUGAUUGCAGCCAAAGACUGGGUACACUAUGACAUGUCCUUAGCCAUAUAGAUUGUUUAUUUAAUGGACUUUGUUCAUUUGUUUUUUGUUUGUUUAUUUCUUCUUCUUCUUUUUUUUUUUUUAAUUCACAGGUGCAGUGCCAGAAAUGUGGUGCAUACAAACACAUGCGUUGUUCAAAGUCUGUUUGUGGCAUCUGUAUCUUCUGUGAGAGGCCGUAAAGCCAAACUGCCCGCAAUGAUUCUUGACAGGCCUAAGAAGGCCAAAACUAAAGUAACAGUGUUUAGUGUUCUGAGUGAAGAGGAGGCUGGGGAGCUAGCCCUCGGGUUUGCCGGAAGAUUGGCCUGCGAUGUCACAACAGACAUGGUCUGUAAAGGCAUCGACCAUUCAAGUGCUGAUAUGACAAAACAGACUCUUCUCAAAAUCCAACACAAUCUUAAACAUGAGCUGACUGAUUCCUCAACCUUCAGUUUGCUGACACACACCUUUGGCCCCGCUGCACUGGAUUCUGUCAUUUCAUUCCUGUGUGAAAAACUUGAUCUUGUCUCUUAAAUAAUGAAACCUUUUGUGACUUUUGUUUGUUCUGUAAAUCAGAAUCUUGAAAAUUGUUCAUUGUUGUUCUAAGUUUGUGUUAACUAUUUGGCAAAAAUGAUUGGUUCCUAAUCCAAACAGCAUAAUGACUGUUCUAACACAUAUCUUAAAAAUGCUACAAAGAAAGAAAAUUAUCACAUAUGUUUCAAUAUGAAUGUAAUUGUGUCACACUCGGUUUGUAGUAGCUUUCCUGUUUUAUUUUGAGUUUUGGUAUGUUUACACUGUUAUUUUUAUUUCCCGUGUGUUCGUCUUCCCUUAUUAGUUUUACUGUAUUUAAUUAGUCUGAUUUAAUAACUUAUAAUUAUUUACUUUCCAGUGUGUAUAUAUGCUCCUCGUUUGGAUUA